rnacentral:rRNA from 1 species
UCCCUACGGGAGGCAGCAGUGGGGAAUAUUGCACAAUGGGCGCAAGCCUGAUGCAGCAACGCCGCGUGAGGGACGACGGCCUUCGGGUUGUAAACCUCUUUUAGCAGGGAAGAAGCGAAAGUGACGGUACCUGCAGAAAAAGCGCCGGCUAACUACGUGCCAGCAGCCGCGGUAAUACGUAGGGCGCAAGCGUUAUCCGGAAUUAUUGGGCGUAAAGAGCUCGUAGGCGGUUUGUCGCGUCUGCUGUGAAAUGCCGAGGCUCAACCUCGGGUCUGCAGUGGGUACGGGCAGACUAGAGUGCGGGAGGGGAGAUGGGAAUUCCUGGUGGAGCGGUGGAAUGCGCAGAUAUCAGGAGGAACACCGAUGGCGAAGGCAGAUCUCUGGGCCGUAACUGACGCUGAGGAGCGAAAGGGUGGGGAGCAAACAGGAUUAGACCCCAGUAGUCA